rnacentral:tRNA from 1 species
GGCCCCGUAGCUCAGUUGGAUAGAGCGCGCCCCUCCUAAGGGCGAGGUCGUACGUUCGAAUCGUAUCGGGGCCGCCA